ACCUAUGAAAGUCCAAAGGAAACACAACUUCUUAAAAUUUUUAAUGAAAUUUUUUUUAUAAAAGUAUAAUGUGAGAAAAGUCAAACACAGAAGUUCAUGUAACCGGGAUGCAAGUCCUCCUCCUCCCCAGAUACACAUGUAUGGUGGCAGCUCACUGUGGAUCUAUCUUGGAAGGGGAGCACAACUGGCCACCCCCAAAUGCGCCUCUCUGGCACAAGGAUUAUCUGGAGCUGGUUAUUUUUUAAGAAACAGCAGACCUAAGAAAAGCUUUGAAAACCUUUUGUCAGGGACACGGCCAUCAAUAAGGGAAGGAAAGGUCCAUCUAUAAGGGUGUCUUCCUCUCCCUGCCAGGACGAGGGGAUGACAGAAAUCUCUAAGAACUCUUUUUUUAAUUUUUAAUUUUUAGUACAAGUGAGUUGUUAAAGGGCAGAUUUUUUUUUUAAAUUAACAUUUAAUGGAAAAGGGACCAAUCGACAUCUGCUGAACCACUUUACCCUUGUUCACUAUGAUUUUCCUGACAGCCCCCCAUAAUGGACUCCCUUACGCCCCAACAUCUUGUCUUGAGCUGGAGAUGGUAUUUAAGGUGGUGUCUUGGGCCACUUUGGGGAGUUUAACUGUUUUCCUGGGUAUCUCCCAUAUAUACAGGAGGUAUACAUGGUAUUAAACUUCUGCUUUUCUCCUAUUAAUUAUUAUUUCAGGGGGUGGGGGUCUCAGCCAAGAACCUAGCAUGGUAGAUGAUAAGUAAUUUUUCCUCUCCUACAUUUUGGCAACCUACGCUGGGGCCUGCUGAAACACCGUACUCGCCUGGGAGCCUACAGAUGGGAGCGUGGAAAACCGGCAAAAGCCGGCAAAGGACACAAUUGGAAGCAUGGUUAUAUUACCAAGGCUUUGACUGGAAUGUCAUAUUUGAAAAUAAUAUGCAUAAAAUCAGGUAUGACCAGAACUUUAAGGAACUAAGAUUGACUUUAUGGAACCAAUAAAGCUCCUUGGAAAAAAUGGACCUGUAACCUUGCUUACAGAAUUCUGGACAGCCUCACCAGAAAUACAGCCUAAUGUGCCAUGAUGCAGUCUUAUUUUAGAAACACAUUCCGAGGACGAUACUUACAGUCCCACCCAUGUGGGGAGGCAGAUACUCGACACUGACAUAGUCCUGGACUUCAUUUUUGCUGGU